CUCCUCGCGCCGCGAGGGGAGCCCCCACUUGAUCUUGUCCUCCUCCGCGUGCGGGAUCCGCGGUCGCCGGCGUCCUCCUUGCUCGGCCAUGCGAGCGCGCCAUCAACAUCCUCACCCGGCCGGCCAAGCUCGCCAUUUUCUUCCAGGCGCGGCCCGUCGAGGGCACACCUCACUCAUCGCCGCCGUCCUCCGGGCGUGGCCACGAAAGCUUCCACUUGAUCUCGUCCUCCUCCACGUGCGGGACCUGGAGGUCGCCGGCGUCCUACUCGCCGGGCCAUGCAAGCUCGCUUCACCAUCGAACUCAGCCCCAUGUCCAACCAAGCAACACUCAAGUACCACCUGAUCUCCGCCCACUGCCGUCGAGGGCACAUUGCACCCGGGACAAGUCAGAUCUGGGCAAGGAGGGCCGUCCACCAUUGGCACUGAUAUGCUCAGGGGAAGGUGGGAGUUGAAUAGUUGGAGGGUUGUGCUAUGUGCAACUAAAAUGCUUUUGUUUGAUGCUACUGUUGGAUAUGUUGGUCGAUGAUCUUGCUGUCAAGGUGAAACUUUGAAUUUGAGAUCUCAACUUAUGAUGACUGCCCAGUACAAUCGCUGCUUCAAAAUUCUUGCGUGGAGAGGGCU